rnacentral:rRNA from 1 species
GAUGAACGCUGGCGGCGUGCCUAAUACAUGCAAGUCGAGCGAACAGACGAGGAGCUUGCUCCUCUGACGUUAGCGGCGGACGGGUGAGUAACACGUGGAUAACCUACCUAUAAGACUGGGAUAACUUCGGGAAACCGGAGCUAAUACCGGAUAAUAUAUUGAACCGCAUGGUUCAAUAGUGAAAGACGGUUUUGCUGUCACUUAUAGAUGGAUCCGCGCCGCAUUAGCUAGUUGGUGAGGUAACGGCUUACCAAGGCAACGAUCCGUAACCGACCCGAGAGGGGGAUCGGCCACACUGGAACUGAGACACGGUCCAGACUCCUACGGGAGGCAGCAGUAGGGAAUGUUGCGCAAUGGGGGGAAGCCUGACGGAGCAACGCCGCGUGAGUGAUGAAGGUCUUCGGAUCGUAAAACUCUGUUAUUAGGGAAGAACAAAUGUGUAAGUAACUAUGCACGUCUUGACGGUACCUAAUCAGAAAGCCACGGCUAACUACGUG